rnacentral:SRP_RNA from 1 species
CCGUGCUAGAUGGGGAGGUAGCGGUGCCUUGUAACUCACAAUCCGCUAUAGUGGGGUCGAAGUCCUGCCUGAGGGCCUAUCCUGUGGGGUCAGCCUCGGAAAAGUGGCAAUGAUAACCGGGUCUUACGCAACAAGAAGUUAUAAACCCCGUCAGGUCCGGAAGGAAGCAGCGGUAAGUAACCACUUUUGUGUGCCGUAGGGGAGCCUGGUUUGAGUUAACUAGUUGAGUAACGUCCGGAGGGUAGUUUCGAAGGUAGGUGCACGG